CGCACAAAAUAUUUCCCAAAAAUAUUUGGUUACAUGUUUACCCUAACUUUCCCGCUUAUCUCUCUUCCCUUCUCCGGUUUCUCUCCUUCCCCUCUCUGGUUUCUCAACACUCACUACACACAUCACACUGUCGUUCCCCCAUCAUCGCGUAGCUACUGCUGUUCCUCCACCGCGUCGCCGCUGUUGUUCCCCCACCGACGCGUCGUAUCUGUUCCCCCACCUCCGCGCUGUUUUUGUCCCCCUCUUUUUGGAUUGAUUAAUUUUGUUUGAGCUUUUUUGCAGCUAUUGUCAUUGAUAAUUGUAUAACUUUUCUCUAUCAUAUUAUAGAUCUAUUUGGGUUUAAAAAAUAAAUUUGGGUUUUAUGAUUUAGUGUUUUUACUAGUUUAUUCUUGAUUUUCUUAUGGGUCAUGUUUGAUGUUUUGAUUUAGGUACUGAAUGUCAAGAUAAUUAAACUAGGGAAUACUGAGUGCGAUGUUUCCUGAGGUUCGAAAGCUUCCCCAAUGGUUCUUCAGUUUCCAGCGAUUUUUUUGUGUAGAUUCUCGAUGUAUUGUCCUCUAUUGGGCUAGCUCGGAGUCGUCGAUACAUUUUAUCGAUGGAUGGGUUUGACCAGACAGUGAACAUUAAGGUUAUCAUGGGCCUCAUGGCAAGUAAUCGAGUUGAUUCUCUUGAUCCUGCAUUGCUACAACUUGGAAGGCUAGACAUGAAAAUUGAGUUUCCUUUGCCUGAUAGACGAUAAAAGCAACUUGUUUUUCAGGUCUGUAUUGCGAAGAUGAACUUGAGGGAUGAGCUUGUCUUGGAGGAUUAUGUUUCACGGUCAUACAAAAUUAGUGUUUCCGAGGUACUCAACAAUUCGAGUGAGCAGCCUUGCACCACUAAGGAGAUGAAUGAAGUUCGAGACAAGUUGGCAAACUUCAUUACUAGUUAUUGUCUUUGAUAUUUUGAACAUUUUUUUUUCUUGUAAUGAAUCUUAGAUUAUGGAUGCUAUUUUUUCAAAUGAUUGUAAUAUUAUCGACAUAUAGAUUUAUAAUGUAUAGUUUUUAUUUUAAUUAUCUAUAUAAUUGAAUACUUUUGUGAUAUA